UACGGGGGGGGCAAGCGUUGUUCGCAAUUACUGGGCGUAAAGCGCACGUAGGCGGAUCGUUAAGUCGGGGGUGAAAUCCUGGAGCUCAACUCCAGAACUGCCUUCGAUACUGGCGAUCUCGAGUUCGGGAGAGGUGAGUGGAACUGCGAGUGUAGAGGUGAAAUUCGUAGAUAUUCGCAAGAACACCAGUGGCGAAGGCGGCUCACUGGCCCGAUACUGACGCUGAGGUGCGAAAGCGUGGGGAGCAAACAGG
rnacentral:rRNA from 1 species